GGCGACGCAUUGGAGGAUCUAGACCUUUGCCGGUGCGUCCUCGGCUGCACGGCUACCGACAGUAGGGCGGCAAAAGGAGCGGCAACGGCCCGGGGUGAGCACCUCCGCAGGCCACGCCCCUGGGGGCAGGCCGAGCAGCAGCAGUAGCCUCAACUUUGCUCAUCUCCAAAAGUCCAGCUUAAUGAUGGCGCCUAGGAUACUUGCAAACCAGAUGCUUUCUGUUGUCCUCUCUACGGCCGCGUACUGUCCAUGAAAAAACAAUCUCCCGAUGCAUGAUCCCAGUUCACAGGUGCUGUCCAUGGAACAGAAGGGGCUCGCCGCUUUUAGAUUCUUUGUCUGGAGUAGUAAAGAAACCCACAGCUCGUCACCUGGACAGUGCUUCUCGACCCUGCGGAUGGUCAGUGGCCGCAAACGAUGACCAGCAGUGCUAGCGCUUGCUCCGGAUUAGGGAGCAUGGCAUCGCCUGGAAGCCGCCCUGUCACCAUCGAAACAACGGUCAGAACAUCAAUGCUGCAGUCACGAGACAGAGCACUAAAAACCGUGGUAGCGGAGGAAUCCCGUAGUAGGAGCUGGUAUCUUGGUUCACCCUUUCUCAUCCUGUUAAGGAUGGAUUUGGUUCAGGGUCAGGGUGAGGAGGGGAUACGUUCCCUGGCCCGAUUUAACCUCAUGCAUGAUUGCUGGCUACGACAUGACCGGCUUGGCUCUCUCCC